rnacentral:tRNA from 1 species
ACCCUUGUAGAUCAAUUGGCUAGAUCGUCCGACUGUCUCUCGGAAGAAUUUGUGGGUUCGAGUCCCAUCAGGGGUGC